CACGACCUUACUUGAACAGGAUCUGUUCUAUAGGCUCGUACCAUUGUAUCCUUGAAUUCUAAGGAGACAGGAAUCCAAGUCUGGUUGAUGAAGCAUGGCCAUGUGACCAGAGCGUGAUUAACAGCUAUCCAUGGUUUCUCGAGCUGUGGUUACAGUAGAUGAUCGUUCUUAGACCCUUAAUCUCAGGCCUAAGAUGGUCUCAUGGCUGUCUGACAGACUCUCUCAUUUU
rnacentral:snoRNA from 1 species